AAGCCCCCCACCCUCAUCCCUCGAUUCCUCUCCUUCUCCCUCGUCUGCAGCCGCCGCCGCCACCAGUGUCCUCCCCCCCACCCCUUCUCUCAUUCCCUCACCUGCGCCCUCGUCCACCUGGGCCUCGUGGUCGGCCAUGGAGGUCUGAUCCGACCCAUGGAUGGACGGGGGCGAAACCCUAGCCCCACACCGACCCAUGGAUGGAUGGGGAUGGGGCGACGGUGGCGGCGGCCUUCUCUUGGUGCUUACUGAUGUGGCGGUCCUCGAUGCCGGCGACGGGUUGCAGCACGUAGACGCCAAAAGCUGCGGGUGUGGCGGAGGAGCACCAUGGCGGGCGUGCAGGCCAUCUUUCCCUACCAAAUGAUCCCAAUCCCUUUCUUUCUGCUGGACAGCUCUGAAGAAUUGAUAUUUGUCAAGAACCUGCAACAGAACCAAAAGAAUGGUAUACGUAUAUAACUACUUUGGUGAUUCCUUUUAAGAUGGCAAUGAGACAUGAGAGAAAGAUAACUUGUCAUUUGAGAUGCCCCUAAUUCAAUUUUAUAUCGUGCUGAACUUUCUCAAACUAUUAUGUAUAUCAUCUUAGUAAUUGAGCUAAACAAACUGCCAUGGUAUUAUCUGCUGGUUGCAAAAUGAGAAAAGCAACACAUGCAUGAAGAAUAGUAGUGAAUAUUACACAUCUUACCUCUCAUAUUUGUUGAUCUGACCCUUGGCACCACCCAACGAAGGAUGAAGGAAGAGGCCAGCUGCAGCAAAACCAUGCUCCACAUUCCCUUGCAAAGGAAAAAAUUCAGAAUUGAAGGUGUCCAUGCCGGACUGUAUGCAGUGUGCGCCUGCGACACAGAGUUAUCACUGCUACCCCACCGAAGUCCCUGGCAAGUACGUGUUGCUACCAAGGAAAAUAUGCUUUCUCAUCAAUUUUGCAGCAUGCAUUAGAAAGUUCAAAUUUAUAUCCUCGAAUAAAUUUCUUCAUGAAGGUGCAUCAGGAUGACCAUCCACCAUUGUUUCUUCGAAAGCAUGCGGCAGAGGCACCCACACCCGCGGUUCAGCAAGAUCUACAUCUCCAACAACUACACCAAGGACUGGGGCAUAUACGCCAUAUGCGCCUGCGUUGAAGCUCAUGUAACUCAUAUAGGUGUACUGUUUCAUAUGCUGGCAACCCACACGCUUUGAAACAAUCAAUUUCUAAUGAAUCAGUACCUGCAUUUGCAAAUUGUGUCCCAGUGUAACAUAUAUGAAGGAGGACAGAAGACGACUGUUUUCAAUUACAUGCCGGAGAAGGCUGCUGACAGAGAAGAGACGACAGCAGGAGCAGAGCCUCUCUCCUGCAAGGCCUUAGGCAUCUUCUUACAAUGCCCAUACAUAUUGCAUAUUCAUAUUAUUAUUUUCUGACAAACUUGCCUUUUCUGACAAACUUGCCUACUAAAAUGUUUGUAUAGUUGGCAGUCCGGUGAUUCCAGCUUAUUUGUCUAAUUUGAUGUAGGAAAUGGAUUUUUUUGAGUUUGAGUUCUCAGUAAUACUUGUUGCCUCCUGUUGUGAUUCUAGGUUGAACUUGCCAAGAUGCUACUAAAUAAGGGCAGGGGCACUUGUUUGAAUACUGGUCAGAACCCGGUGUUGAUGACGACAAGAAGAAAAGCUUCUUUGACAAGGUUUGCCGACUUAAUUCAAGCUAUCCUGCUGGACUGACAUCAUACAUCCAGAAUGCCAAAAGGCUUUUUGCAGAUUCCAAGUCUGGACAAAAUCCAUACGAUGGUUUCACGCCUUCGGUUCCCUCGGGGGAAGUAUUGUCCUUCGGUGAUGACAAUUUUGUUUAAGCACACAAUGUUGCAUUUGUUCUUGUAGCUGGUGGGCUUGGCGAAAGACUUGGUUACAAAGGAAUUAAGGUUAUCAUUGGGAAGUCUAAAAGUUGCACAGGAAGAUCUCGGCAAAUACUUUAAGCCCCAAAGUAACAAAGGUGAGGACCUAAACUGGUGGUACUGGCCUACCUUUCCUUCAGGGAAUGCCCAGCGGACCUGAAAGAUGGUAUCGGCAGUUUGAUAAUUGCAGCCCCAAUGGUGCUCUGAGCUCUUUGAACUCAGUCAAUGUGGGACCCUUUUGACAGGAAGUAUGGGAAAUAUUUCGUUGUUGCUGCAGUUGACCUAUGCUAAAAUGCCGGUGUUAAUAACCAUGUAAGUGUGUAUUUCAUUUCUUUUUCUGCAAAGUCAUUCGUUGUCACUACUGCAUGUAUUUUAUGCUCACUACUGAAAUCGAUGAUGUCCUUCUGAAGCUAAUUGAGAAGUUGUCGGUCAAUAUGUCGCCUAAGCAAUUUAAGUUGGAAGUUCUUAAGGAUAUAGAAAAGGAGGAUCAGGGAAACUAUGUUAAAGGGUCAAGUUAGGAUAUUUACUAAUUAGCUUGAAAACUCUCAAGGGUCAAGGGAACAAUUAACAUAGUUUCGUGCUAACUCGAUCGAUAGAUCCUCGGUUCGAACCCCCGAAAGCACACCAUUUUUUCGCUCGCUUCAGAUUGAACGGGAAAAAAAGAAAGACGGGCCGGCCCAGCACCGCGCGGGGAUGUGCGCCUGUUUGUUAGAAUUGAAGAAACGGGCGCAGCGGGCGCCGGCUUUUAGAUGCGGCUUUUUGGGUUUUUGAUUUUUAUCUGGUUUUUCCUAGGUCUACAAGAAACUAUUUAUUUUUUGAAGCACAAUGCCUUUGAAAAAACAAAUAUGUACUUUCAUAAGAAUCACAAUUGUAUUUCUCGUGAUAGCAUAGAUUUGCUUCCGCGAGAAGCACAACCCAUGCCUCCGCCAGAAGCACAACCUGUGCGUGGAAGAAAAGCACAAGUGUGCCUCCACUAGAAGCAAAUAUGUGCUUGUACGAUAAACACAGAUAUGUUCGAUGAGAAAAAAAACACAACCAUGAGCUUCUACGAGAAGCACAGUCUUACCACCUCGAAAAAUGAAUAAGACAUGCGUAAAAAACGGUGAAACCACAACCGUGCUUUUGUUUUUUUUCUUCUGCCUUUUCUUUCAGUAUUCAAUGUUUUCCGGUUGUCGAUUUUUUUGGGAUUUUUUGUUUUCUUUUUUUUAACUAAUCUGUAGUAGAACAAAAUUGAAUUUCAUCAUCCUAGACAAAACCAAAAUUAACAAGAUAUUGUUGUUUAAAAUUUAUUAAAAGAUCUGUUGUUAGGAACCAUCCUUCGGAAUCAGAAUAUUUAGACUAAUAACACCAAGAUGUAGAGAGCAACUUAGCAAAAUUAUUGUUAGCAAAGAAUAAUUUUGUACAAUGGAAACUCGUGAGGGUCUGGAUCCUCUUUUAUCGGGCGACCAUUAGAAAAGGUAGAUCCUCUUUUAGUUGACAACUAUUAACAAAAGUAUUGUUAGGCCACGAACAUGAGCAAAUUGUUUAAACAAUUAAGCUGAUUUAAUAAUUGUAUAACUCAGUCCGAACGCAUGCCCCACCUGCAAAAGAAAGAUACAGUUGUUGCAGCUAACUGUUGCAACUGCGUCUAUAGAAAUCAGAGGAAGCUUAUUUAAUCAGCCAAUUGACAGGUUCAAAUUAUUGUUAGUGCUAGCCUGCUAGGACCAAUUGCACGUGUCAAUUCAUGCCAAUAGCUGUAAAUCAAAAGAAAAAAAGAAAAAAUAGACUCACCAGCUGCAAAUACUCCAGGAAUAAAGGUGCAAGCAUGGCACUGGGCAUGAUUUAUUUAGUACAACGAUUGGGUGAGAGGGUUUAAUUUUCAUAUUUCUUUCAGACAAACAAAUGGAGAUUACAUGGUGAUGUACGUUUAUGACAAACCCUUAUUUUCUGUAAAGUGGUAGUGCAGAUGACCAAUGUGGUGUGAAUUCCACUUCUGCAGAUAUCUUGUUGAUGGCACUAUUUUCUGUCACUAUAAAUACAUCGUUGUAUACUAUUGUUACACAUGAUUUCAUAGUUUGCCAAGUAUCACAGAAUUUGUGGUUGAGUACUUAUAUCCAAAAGCAUCGUGUUAGUACUGAAGUUAAUUUAUGCAUUGUUAUUGGAGUUGCCUUAAUGUUUCCCGUGCUAUCAAGAUCUACCUAUGUUCUGUUUUUCACCAUCUAAAAUCAUGAAUAACCUGAGCCAUUAUCGUCUAUCGAAUCGCUUAUGUAACCUCUAGUACUGCAGCUUGUUGCUUUCCCCAAGCAAUUCAAUUGGAUAUUUCUAGGGAUCAAUUCCGGGAAAUCACAUAGGUACUCUCAGUUUAUCUCAUUUUGCGGUUAUUUGAAUGACUAUGUAUUGUUGUAUUGCCGUGCUCUGCGGGUUGGCGUUGGCCGCCAACAACGACGAGGCUGGCGGCUCGGGCGCGGGCGUCAUCAACAUUGAUCUGUGUCCUAUUUUUUCUUUGGUUUUUAGUUUUUGUUAUGAUCAGUGUCUUGUUUUUUCUUUUAUAAAUUGCAAUGAACGACCGAAGCUCGACAAAGAUGUCCUAAUCUUAUUGUAUUUGAGUGUCAUUUAUUUAGCUCUUUCAAAAUUUAUAGUGUGGCUUUUUGUAACAUGCCAUUUUCAUGUGUUUAUGAAGAUUGCAAAAAAGCAACUGGAAUGAGCGACUGCCAGCUUGGCACCGCC
rnacentral:rRNA from 1 species